GCCUCUGUAGCUCAACGGAUAGAGCGCGCUCGUAACGAAGGCGGAGAUACGGGUUCGAAUCCCGUCAGGGGCA
rnacentral:tRNA from 1 species